rnacentral:ribozyme from 13 species
UUUUUUUUUUUUUUUUUUUUUUUUUUUUUUUUUUUUUUUUUUUUCC